rnacentral:misc_RNA from 1 species
UUUCCGUAGGUGAACCUGCGGAAGGAUCAUUACUGAGUGAGGGCCCCUCGGGGUCCAACCUCCCACCCGUGUUUAACGAACCCUGUUGCUUCGGCGGGCCCGCCUCACGGCCGCCGGGGGGCAUCUGCCCCCGGGCCCGCGCCCGCCGAAGCCACCUGUGAACGCUGUCUGAAGUAUGCAGUCUGAGACAAUUAUUAAAUUAAUUAAAACUUUCAACAACGGAUCUCUUGGUUCCG